UUUCCGUAGGUGAACCUGCGGAAGGAUCAUUAACGAAUGACUAUGGUGUCUUGGUUGUCGCUGGCUCCUCGGAGCAUCGUGCACGCCCGCCAUUUUUAUCUAUCCACCUGUGCACCGAAUGUAGGUCUGGAUGACUCUCGUCUCCGGGCGGAUGCGAGGUUUGCGUGUGCGUAGCGCGUUCAUGCGCGUUGCGUACGGGCCCUCCUCGAAUUUCCAGACUCUACGUCUUUUUACACGCCCCAAACGUAUGAUGCAGAAUGUAGUCAAUGGGCCUUUAAAAGCCUAUAAAGCACUAUACAACUUUCAGCAACGGAUCUCUUGGCUCUC
rnacentral:misc_RNA from 1 species